ensembl:lncRNA
AAAUCCCCAAUUUAACCCGAAAAUCACGCUUUUCACAAAUCCCCCAUUUAACCCGAAAAUCACCCGUUUUCUCUUCGAGAAUCCCCCAUUUAACUUGAAAAUCACGCGUUUUCUCUUCGCAAAUCCCCCAUUUACCCCGAAAAUCACCCGUUUUCUCUUCGAGAAUCCCCGAUUUACCCGAAAACCACGUGUUUUCUCUUCAGAUAUCCCCCAUUUAAGCGAAAAUCAUGUGUUUUAUCUUCGAGACUCCCCCAUUUAACCGAAAAUCACGUCUUUUCUCUUCGCAAAUCCCCCAUUUAACCCGAAAACCACCCGUUUUCUCUUCGAGAAUCCCCCAUUUAACCCGAAAAUCACGCUUUUCACAAAUCCCCCAUUUAACCCGAAAAUCACCCAUUUUCUCUUCGAGAAUCCCCCAUUUAACCCGAAAAUCACGCUUUUUCUCUUCGCAAAUCCCCCAUUUAAGCGAAAAUCACGUGUUUUCUCUUCGAGAAUCAGCCAUUUAACCUGAAAAUCACGCGUUUUCUCUUCGCAAAUCCCCCAUUUAAGCGAAAAUCACGCGUUUUCUCCUUGUAAAUCCCCCAUUUAAGCGAAAAUCACGCAUUUUCUCUUUGAGAAUCCCCCAUUUAACUUGAAAAUCACGUGUUUUCUCUUCGAAAAUCCCCCAUUUAAGCAAAACUCACGCAUUUUCUCUUCGAGAAUCCCUGAUUUAACCCGAAAACCACGUGUUUUCUCUUCAGAUAUCCCCCAUUUAAGCGAAAAUCACGUGUUUUAUCUUCGAGGCUCCCCCAUUUAACCGAAAAUCACGUGUUUUCUCUUCGCAAAUCCCCAAUUUAACCCGAAAAUCACCCGUUUUCUUUUUGCAAAUCCCCCAUUUAAGCGACAAUCACGCGUUUUCUCUUCGCAAAUCCCCCAUUUAAGCGAAAACCACGCGUUUUCUCUUCAAGAAUCCCCCAUUUAACCCGAAAACCACGCAUUUUCUCUUAGAGAAUCCCCCAUUUAACCCGAAAAUCACCCGUUUUCUCUUCGAGAAUCCCCCAUUUAAGCAAAAACCACGCAGUUUCUCUUUGAGAAUCCCCCAUUUAACUGAAAAUCACGCGUUAUCUCUUCAGAAAUCCCCCACUUAAGCGAAAAUCACGUGUUUUCUCUUCACAAAUCCCCCAUUUAACCAAAAAUCACGCAUUUUCUCUUCGACAAUCCCCAUUUAACCCAAAAAUCACACGUUUUCUCCUCAAGAAUCCCCCAUUUCAGCGAAAACCAUGCAUUUUCUCUUUGAGAAUCUCCCAUUUAUCCGAAAAUCACGCGUUUUCUUUUCACAAAUCCCCCAUUUAACUCGAAAAUCAUGCCUUUUCUUUUCACAAAUCCCCCAUUUAACCCGAAAAUCACGCGUUUUCUCUUUGCAAAUACCCCAUUUAACCCAAAAAUCAUGCGUUUUCUAUUUGCAAAUCCCCCAUGUAUGCGAAAAUCACGCGUUUUCUCUUUGCAAAUACCGCAUUUAAGCAAAAAUCACUUGUUUUCUCAUCGCAAAUCCCCAAUUUAACCCGAAAAUCACGCAUCUUCUUUUUGCAAAUCCCCAUGUAUGCGAAAAUCACGCGUUUUCUCUUCGCAAAU